GCGCGAGUGGCGGAAUUGGCAGACGCAGUGGAUUUAGGUUCCACCGCCGAAAGGUGUAGGGGUUCAAGUCCCUUCUCGCGCACCA
rnacentral:tRNA from 1 species